rnacentral:rRNA from 1 species
UACGAAGGGGGCUAGCGUUGUUCGGAAUUACUGGGCGUAAAGGGCGCGUAGGCGGCGUGUCAAGUCAGGCGUGAAAGCCCCGGGCUCAACCUGGGAACCGCGCUUGAGACUGGCAUGCUCGAGUUCGGGAGAGGAUGGUGGAAUUCCCAGUGUAGAGGUGAAAUUCGUAGAUAUUGGGAAGAACACCGAUGGCGAAGGGCAGCCAUCUGGACCGACACUGACGCUGAGGCGCGGAAAGCGUGGGGAGCAAACAGG